UGCCAUGCCGAAGAGAGGCGCUUUCAAUUUUACGCAUGCCAGCAAGAUUAUAUGUAACGUUAAGUAUACACAAUUAAGAAAGUGUGCAGAAAUUGAUUAAUUUCUCUCUUCUUACAAGUAUUUUUAAUCUUUUUGUUAGGACUUGGGAGUUUAGUGGAAGAGUGAAAGGUAAAAGCUGGAUAUUGUAGACACAACAAGUGCUCAAGAAUCAAGAUGCUUUUCUAGCUGGAGUAUCAUCAAAACAGUAAUGCAUUAAAACAGUCUAUCUAUACUCAAUCGUUCUUAAAAGGGUAGUGAAUGAACCACUUGAAAGUAUAUGAUAUCCUAUGUUCUUGGUUUAGAUGGGAAUAGCAUGGCAAAAGUGUUUUAUGAGCUUUGUACAGUGUAAUUGAGGGUGUCUUGGUGGCGUCUUUGUUCGGUCUUAGUUCAAUGGUUGGAUUGCUGAUGAAUCUAGGCGUUGUUUUGCCUAUUGUCUUUAAUGAUUCAAAGUAUAUUCACUAUGAGGGUGCUAAGGUUUAAACCAAGCGUCCGCUAAGUAUUGAAGAGGGCCACUUAAGGGAAAAAAUGAGCUAAAAGCUUUACGAAAAGAUUUUGAAGGCCAAUGAGCAAACUUUGAAGCUACGGUGUGAAAUAUUAU
rnacentral:lncRNA from 1 species